AUGCCACCACCCGGAAGAGAGUGAUAUUCCUGGUGUUUUAGCUAGCAGAUCCGACCCACUUGCUUACAGCUGAACUAGAGUAGGACAGGCCUCCUGUUUAGAUUAACACACUCUGCUGGUUACUGGUGUUUGUGAGGCAGAUCCCAUGUUUGAUAUGGGCUUUGAGUAUCAAGUGAGGUCUAACGCCCGCCAUGUCCAGCCUUAUCGGCAGACCUCAGCGUAUGACACCUUCUACACUACUCUGACUCUGGCCACCUCAACCUGCCUCUCUCGCACAGGACACUUCCGAUCCCUAGCAACAUGGGCACCCCUACAGUUGCACACACAACUUUUUCCACAGAAUCUACACAAUCCUCUGUCCCAUGCCCUCCUGCACACUUCCCACAUCUUGGAAUCUCCCUCCUACACACUGGUGUGACAUGACCAUAAAUGUGGCACCUGAAACACUGCAGUGGAUUCGGCACAAAAGCUCUAACAGGAUAACUGAUAUAUCGUAACAUGACUUUGGCAGGUAAAGACUGAUUCAAAAGGACAGAGUGUGACACCUCUUUCGCCUC
rnacentral:lncRNA from 1 species